UGCCAGCAGCCGCGGUAAUACGGAGGGUCCAAGCGUUAUCCGGAAUCAUUGGGUUUAAGGGGUACGCAGGCGGGACUUUAAGUCAGUGGUGAAAGCCUCCAGCUUAACUGGAGAAUUGCCAUUGAAACUGAUGUUCUUGAGUAUGGAUGAGGUGGUUGGAAUAUAACAUGUAGCGGUGAAAUGCUUAGAUAUGUUAUAGAACACCAAUUGCGAGGGCAGAUCACUAAACCAUUACUGACGCUGAGGUACGAAAGCGUGGGGAGCGAACAGGAUUAGAUA
rnacentral:rRNA from 1 species